rnacentral:hammerhead_ribozyme from 1 species
AUCCAGCUGACGAGUCCCAAAUAUGAGAAAAUGCGCGUCCUGGAU